GCACAAGCGGUGGAGCAUGUGGUUAAUUCGAAGCAACGCGAAGAACCUUACCAGGUCUUGACAUCCCGAUGCUAUUUCUAGAGAUAGAAAGUUACUUCGGUACAUCGGUGACAGGUGGUGCAUGGUUGUCGUCAGCUCGUGUCGUGAGAUGUUGGGUUAAGUCCCGCAACGAGCGCAACCCCUAUUGUUAGUUGCCAUCAUUCAGUUGGGCACUCUAGCGAGACUGCCGGUAAUAAACCGGAGGAAGGUGGGGAUGACGUCAAAUCAUCAUGCCCCUUAUGACCUGGGCUACACACGUGCUACAAUGGUUGGUACAACGAGUUGCGAGUCGGUAACGGCGAGCUAAUCUCUUAAAGCCAAUCUCAGUUCGGAUUGUAGGCUGCAACUCGCCUACAUGAAGUCGGAAUCGCUAGUAAUCGCGGAUCAGCACGCCGCGGUCGAAUACGUUCCCGGGCCUU
rnacentral:rRNA from 1 species